AGCAGUACGCUGCCAUGACGCGCGCUGACAUCAUAUGGCGUCGAGCCUUUGAUCUUCCUGGUGGUGAAUCUAAGUUUUGGGUCUGCUGCGUCCGUCUCCCUAAGGAGCUCGGUGGUGCCUUCCUCCACCCUUUCUCAGCCACACCGGGCCGCGCAGCUCCCUCCACCCAUCUCCAUCAGAUGCUGCCAGAAUAGAUGCAGAGGAAAAGAGGGAGACGCGUCACUCAAACCGAACAAUAGACACCGGUUCACAAUGGUUAAAUGUUUGGGCUUUUGUGCACGUCGUCCACAGAGCGUGUGUGUGGGUGCGCGUGAGAGAGAGAGAGAGAGAGAGAGAGAGAGAGAGAGAGAGAGAGAGAGAGAGAGAGAGAGAGAGAGAGAGAGAGAGAGAGAGAGAGAGAGCAGAGAGCAGAGAGAGCAGGGGACCAGCGACGCAGCAGCUCGGCGCACACUGUCAUCCGAGGCUGCUGUGGAGGUGUGAGGAUGCUGGAAGCUGGCAGCGGUCUCUCCUCGGCCUCGGCCUAUUUUUUGUUCAGUAGAGCAGGAGAAGCAGUGUUUUUAAAAAACACACAUGGAUCAGAGAGAACUGUAUAGUUUUUACUCUCAGACUGAAAUAAGACUUGGCGUGACUGGCUUGCUGGACUUUGGGCUUUUUUUGAUUGGUAGAAAGUUGCGUAAAAACACUGAGUGGACUUGAACUGGCGAUGUGGGAUUUACUCGAAGUUUAUGACCCGAAUGUGUGGAGUGCAGGCAGAAGCCCAGUCGCACACACACUCAGACACACAUACACACACAUCCCAUGUGAGUGAACCUGCAGGGCAGCAGGUCAGCAGAGACACACACCUCGUCCUGCUCUGAAGGAACCACGACUCAACGGCUGGGUCAGCGAGAAGCUCCAUUACUCCACAGUUACAGCAGGAAGAAGAAGAAGAAGAAGAGGAGGAGGCAGUGGAGGAGGAGGAAGAGAAGCAGAGUGGGUGGAAGGAUGGAAGGAGAGAAGGAUAGAAGCAGUUCGAGGAGGUGGUUCGAAGCGGGUGAACCCAGAGCAGGUGAACGCAGCUGCGGAUCGCCAUGGGCUCUCUGGCUGCCUUCCUCCCGUGGCCCCAGCGCUGCAUACAGGGGUCCCGGGGAGACGGCAGGGGCCAGCCAAAGCUGCGGCAGAGUGGGCAUGCUAGGCCAUCCGAGCCAGGAGAGAGGCAGGUGAGAAGGGUGAGCCGAGCUCUCAUCCCCGCCGGCUAGGAGCCUCCACGGCAGAGCGGAGCAGCAGAAAUCAAUACAGAGGAGAGAGGCUAGCAGAGGUUGCCCAGCACCGCCUGCAGGCCUCGGAGCCAAGGGACCCACCACCACCACUGCUCCCAGCUCCUCUCUCCAUUUCUCUUUCUAUCUUCCUCCAACAGUCUCAGCAUCAGCCAGGGCCAGGGCCCUAACCUUAUAACCGCCCCACACGCAGUGUGUGUGUGUGUCAGUGUGCGCACAUGUGUGUGUGAAGCAGAGAGAAAAAGGCAGAGGGAAGAGACCGAGAGAGAGAGCCUUUGUGUGUGGUUCCGCCGGAGGGGUUUCUGCUGCGUCCUACACCACUUGAUAAAACUUGUCAGGAAGACAUGGAGACAGUGAGGAAGGGAGAGAAAUGGAGGAAAAAGAAACAUGUCGACAGCACGUUGAAGCUCUUUUCUUCCUGCUCCCUCCUUCCUAUUACCCAUUCCACCUUAACUGUUUGAGUAAGGAUCCAUCUGAGACGAUAGCACAGGACGUUUCUGCUCAGUCCCACUUUCAAGCACGUAUCGCACUCAACGUUUCGCAAGAUCUCCUGAGCCGGGAUGAAAGAACAAUUUGAACUUUUUCUCUCAUUCACUGUAUCAGACACCGCCUGUCUUCUCACCUUAGAUUUUCCUCACCCUCACUACAGCAGCUCCCAUCAGAGGAUAUGGCAGAGCAGUAUUGAUCUAUAAGGUGGAAGAGAGGAAGGAGGGCCUGGGCUUUCAGACCUCUCUCUCUCUAUGUGUAUGUGUGUGUGUGUGUGUGUGUGUGGAAAUGGCACCUGAAGUCCACUUACUGCUGUGCAGCAAGGAUCCAAUGGCAGCACAAGUGAAAGGCUGCUAAUUGAAUGAGAGAUAAAAAAAAAAGUACAGUGGUUGCACCUCCUCCUCCUCAUCCUCCUCUUCAGUUUUUCCAUUUGACUUUUUUACAUCAAUCCUUCUCCUCACAAAGAAACUUGCUCUUUAGAUGUUUUAACCAAAACCGCUGGUGACUCAAGAACAUUGGCCAAAUCCUCAGCAAUGAGAAUACCUGCAGCUUGACAUGAGUGUGGAGGUGAGAGCCUACAGAGGAAACAGAGGAGAAGAAGUUUCUGUUAUGCACCGACCCCCCCUGAAACUAAAGUUCCUGCCAGAAGACGUGUUUGUGGACUCGGACGGACAUGAGAGGCCAGACGGACGAACUCCACGGGACCGAUACCUCUUGACCAAAUCAGAAAUCCUCCAUGAAAAGCUGCGAUCAAGCCUUCAUCCCAAAGCACACGCUGCCUGGCACCAGAUUCUCUUUGAACGUUCAACCUUCGGCCAGGUAUGGAGAACGCUGCACAUGCAGGAGCAGUCAGUGAGACACGUCCUUACAGUGUGAUCAUCAGCAGUGCUGUCUUCGCUCUGUGUGGAUGUGGACAGGUAAGUCGGAGCCGCUUCUAAAAGGUAUGUUUGGAGGUUGAAUCCAUUUAGAGCCGUGUGAAGUGAACACUGGAGCUGCCAAGCAACAUUUCCCCCCAAAAUUAGUUUCAUUAGAUCCGUAUUAUUAUAUUUGAGACCAAUUUCAGGUCGGAGAUUGAAUGAGACCCAGAGGGGUCCCUUCUUUUCAGUUGCUAAUUUACAUUCAAGUAUUUGACUGGAAAAUUGUUUGGUGAGAGUUUGUCUCUGUUGAAUUACUUAAAUCUUGUCUGAGAUAUUCCGUUUACAUAUACAUUUGCAAUCUUUUUCAUUAUGCUGUGAACCUUUUUAUUAAGAGAUUUCAAAACGCCAAAAGUAUUGAUAUGAUAUAUUUUCAAUAAAAC